UCGGGGGGCCCAGCCCCGCUCUGGGCAGGCAGCAGCUGGCAGAAGACUCGGCCGAGCCCGGCAGCUCCGUCCCAGGACGUGCCCUGGUCCUGCUCCGAGGGGCUGUCGGGGACGGGGCUGCACCCCCGGCAGCCCCUUCCCAGGGGUGGGUGGGAGCUGCUGCAGGAGCCCCCGGGCGGAUCCGUUCCCUCUGGGAAAUCAGCCCCUCUCCUGCAGGUCCCCAGCUGAUUUCUCCCUCUUUGCCAUCGGGGGUGCUCCUUGCUGAGGGGAGGAGCAGGCUGCGAGAGCCCCGUGGAGCGUCCCACCGGCCACAUUCCGCCCCAAGCCCCGAAAUCCUCCGGGUCUGAGGUCCCCAGCGUGCUGCCUGUGCCCAGAGCCCUCCCGUGAACUGGGACCGUGGGAGCUGCACCUGGCUCCAGGAGGAAUCCCCGACCCACCACAGGAAUCUCACUGAUGCUCCUCAGAAUCCUCGUCACGUUCCCCCUGCAGCCUUCCAGAAUCUCUGGGCACCCUCAGGAGAGAGCCCUGGUGCCUGCUCCUGCCUGGCCUGGAGAUGGGGCACGGCCGCUGGCACCACCCCAGGGCUGCCCUUUGCCAGGGGCACACGGGGAGAGAGCUGCAAACAGGAAUUGUCCCUGUGCAAGAGCCGUGUGGGGCUGCUCCUGGGAAAGCUGGCUCUGAAAUCUUUGGGAAAGAUGGCUCUGAAAUCCUUGGGAAAGCUGGCUCUGAAAUCCUGCUCCUGGCAAAGCUGGCUCUGAAAUCCUGCUCCUGGCAAAGCUGGCUCUGAAAUCCUGCUCCUGGGAGAGAUGGCUCUGAAAUCCUUGGGAGAGCNNNNNNNNNNNNNNNNNNNNUGGGAGAGCUGGCUCUGAAAUGCUGCUCUGUGCUGGUGCUGCUCCUGCUGUGCCAGGGAAAACCACCUCUGGCAUCCUGCUCUGUGCUGCUCCUGCUGUGCCAUAGGAAACUGGCUCUGGCACCCUGGGCUGCACUGCUCUGUGCCAGGGUUUGUGCCAGUGCUGCUCCUGCNNNNNNNNNNNNNNNNNNNNNNNNNNNNGCUCCUGCCAGGGAAAUCUGCCCCUGGCAUCCUGCUCUGUGCUGGUGCUGCUCCUGCUCUGCCAGAGCAAUCUGGCUCUGGCAUCCUGUGUUGUGCCAGUGCUCUGUGCUGCUGGCAUCCUGUGCUGUGCCAGGGAAAUCUGCCCUUGGCACCCUGCUCUGCUCUGUGCUGGUGCUGCUCCUCCCUCUGUGCUGGGGGAAUCAGCUCUGGUUCUGUCCUGGUGGUCUGCACCACGUUGGUGUUCUGUGCUGGUGCUGCUCCUGCUCUGCCAGGGAAAUCUGCCCCUGGCACCCUGGUCUGCGCUGCUCUGUGCUGUGCCAGUGCUGCUGCUCCUGCUGUGCCACGGAAAGCUGGCUCUGAAAUCCUGCUCUGCUCUGAGCUGCUGCUGCUGCUGUGCCAGGGAGAUCUGCCCCUGGCACCCUGCUCUGUGCUGGUGCUGCUGCUGCUGUGCCAGGGCGAUCUGCCCCUGGCACCCUGCUCUGAGCUGCUGCUGCCCUGUGCCGUGGGAAGCUGCCUGUGGCCUCCUGCUCCGUGCUGUGUUCCGCUCCCUGCAGGAGCUCCGUGUGCCACCGCCUGCCCUGCGCUGCUCCUGCUCCAGCUGCAUCCCACCGGGAUUUCAUCCACGCUCAGCCAGCGCGGGCUGCACUCCCGGCUCGGGCUGCACUCCCAGCAGUGCUGCACUCCCGGCUCGGGCUGCAUUCCUGGCUCAGGCUGCAGCCCCAGCAGUGCUGCAUCCCCAGCAGUGCUGCAUUCCCAGCAGUGCUGCACUCCCAGCAGUGCUGCAUUCCUGGCUCAGGCUGCAUCCCCAGCAGUGCUGCAUCCCCAGCCCUGCUCCAUCCCAGCAGUGCUGCAUUCCCAGCCCUGCUCCAUCCCCAGCCCGGCUCCAUCCCCAGCAGNNNNNNNNNNNNNNNNNNNNGUGCCAAUGUUCCACCUGACAAAUCAAUAAAGCCCAUUCCCACUGGAGGGCUCUGCUUGUGAUUCCUGACUGCCGGGAAGCCAAGGGGAGGGAUUCAGGGAACACCUGCAGCUGCCCAUUCCCAUUCCUCCUGGGUGCUCUGUUCCAGCCUGCUCCUGAUUCCGGACUCCUGGGAGGUCAAGGGAAGGGAUUCAGGGAACACUUCCACCUGCCCAUUCCCAGUCCUGAGAGCUCUGCUCUCGCCUGCUCGUGAUUCCUGACUCCCAGGAAGCCAAGGGGAGGGAUUCAGGGAACACUUCCACCUGCCCAUUCCCCCUGGGGCUGUGCAGGCUCUGCUCCAUCCUGCUCGUGACCCCACUCCCAAGGGGAGGGAUGCAGGGACACAUCCAGCUGCCCAUUCCCAGUCCCUCUGGAGGGCUCUGCUCCAUCCUGCUCGUGAUUCCCCACUCCCAAGGGGAGGGAUGCAGGGACCCCUCACAGCUGCCCAUUCCCAGUCCCUCUGGAGGGAUCUGUUAAUGAUUCCCAACUCUCAGGAAGCCAAAGGGAGGGAUUCAGGGACACCCCACAGCUGCCCAUUCCCAUUCCCUCCAGAGCAGCCCCAGCCAUUCCAGCACAUCCCAGGGCCUACUUGGCACCUCCUGGCACACCCCUCCAGUGAAUCCAUGGAUUUAACAGGUCCAGUCCAGCCCUGAAUCUAUGGAUGUAAUGAGGUCCAACCCAGCCCUGAAUCCAUGGAUUUAACGGGUCCAACCCAGCCCUGAAUCCAUGGAUUUAACGGGGUCCGACACAGCCCUGAAUCCAUGGAUUUCAGGGAUUCCAUGGAUUUCAGGAUUCCAUGGAUUUCAGGGUCCAUGGAUUUCAGGGGUUCCAUGGAUUUCAGGGGUUCCAUGGAUUUCAGGGUCCAUGGAUUUAAUGGUUCCAUGGAUUUCGGGUUCCAUGGAUUUCUGGUUUCCUUGGAUUUCAGGGUCCAUGGAUUUCGGGGUUCCAUGGAUUUCGGGGUUCCAUGGAUUUCAGGGUUUCCAUGGAUUUC
ensembl:lncRNA